CAGGAAGUCCCACCCCUAUCUAGGAGCCACUGCCAACAGAUAUUCUAUCUCCCUCCCCUCCGUGAAAGAAUGCCUCCAUAGAGCUUCUUCUGUUUGUCCCUUACACGUCUGCAGAGCAACAUAUGAUAUAAAGACACAGUACGUCCCUGAUCUCAAGGAAAUCCAUGGUACCGAGACAAGCCUGGUGGGCAAACCUGAGAUAAAUGUUAGCAUUGCUUUAGACUGACCUCAUCCUGGAAUUCUUUUAUGCAUUGAGGCUAAAAUCCAGUUUUACCCUGGUGGCGGUACCUGAAAGACUGAGGAACUUCAUCAGGCUGCUGGGAGAGACAGCAGGGGAUAGUGCCACCACAUCUGCCACCACGAUGAUGCCACCACAGAUGCCCUUUGCGCCAUCCUCAUCCACGCCGUGCUCUCCUCCACAGCUCGCCUUCACAAGCUCUACACUAGCCAGGGCUAGUCCAAACACGACUGAACAGGUGAGCACAUGUGCAAGGCCUAGAUCUAGAGACCGUCAAAGCUCAGAGUGCGUACUUAGUUUUGGUUAAGUUGGCAUUCAUUGGGUGGCUGUGGUGCGUCUUCUCUAACCAGAAACUUGAGGUCUUGGUAUCGUCUCCCAGUCUGCCUAGGACACAGCUGCAGACACCAUAAGGGGCAAAGUGCGACUUGGUGUUUUGAAGAUGGUUUGUGUAAGCACAGCCUCACUCACUUCUUACCACAAGCAUUGAUUUUUAGGUUUGUAAUGGGCACCACUUGGCCACGUUUAUCCGGAGAGGAUCGAGACAGUUUGUCUCAUUUCGAAACACUUCAGUGAGGAGCUCAUUUUCUGUGUGAUCCGAGACCUCAGGAACAAAUACAGUUUACUUCUCA
rnacentral:sRNA from 1 species